UGGGGAAUUUUGGACAAUGGGCACAAGCCUGAUCCAGCAAUGCCGCGUGCAGGAUGAAGGCCUUCGGGUUGUAAACUGCUUUUGUACGGAACGAAAAAGCUCUCUCUAAUACAGGGGGUGAAUGACGGUACCGUAAGAAUAAGCACCGGCUAACUACGUGCCAGCAGCCGCGGUAAUACGUAGGGUGCAAGCGUUAAUCGGAAUUACUGGGCGUAAAGCGUGCGCAGGCGGUUUUGUAAGACAGAGGUGAAAUCCCCGGGCUCAACCUGGGAACUGCCUUUGUGACUGCAAAGCUGGAGUGCGGCAGAGGGGGAUGGAAUUCCGCGUGUAGCAGUGAAAUGCGUAGAUAUGCGGAGGAGCACCGAUGGCGAAGGCAAUCCCCUGGGCCUGCACUGACGCUCAUGCACGAAAGCGUGGGGAGCAAACA
rnacentral:rRNA from 1 species